GUCUCCCCCCCAACAAAACCUCCCGGACCCCUGUAACUGGGAUGGGAGAAGGCUGGGUGGGGAUGAGGGAGGAUAGCUGUGGAAAGGUUGGGAUUGGGGAAGAAGACUGGAGCGAGAUGGGCUUGAGACAAGAGUGGUGUCGCGCUUGAAGAGGGGGAAGGAGGAGAGAGGAGAUCCCUCUGUCCGAGCCAAGCUUCUGGGCUGGACUUCUCCGCUUAUGCCAGGGCCGCUGUGUGUCAAUGCUCUUCCCCCAUAUCAGUAGAGCGGAGAAGCUGAACACACAGGAAUUACAGGACUCAUCCCUGCACUGCAGAGGUGACAUCACAGCCUCCAAGAGCUCUGGGAACGCCCACUUCCUCCAGGUGCAAUGAGCAAAAAAAUCGUUGACAUCUCAAAUCAGGCCAUUCACUUCCUCCUCAAAGCGCUUGAAGGCUGUGUUUCCCUGGGGAGGAGGGCUGCUUCCUCCAUUCUCUGGUCGGCUAAGGGCUUCUGCAUUCACAAAACUGAACCUACAGGGUCUGACUGACGCGACCAUCUCCAACAGUUCUGACUCCUUCUCUCAGCCUGUGCUGGCGACUUCUCUCUACUCAAUCCACAAGCCCCAUGGAGUGGAGCCCAAGGAGGCAAGAAGGAAUUCAAUCCUCCAGAACUGGAGUUGAAGGCUGUUGCAAGCACAUAUGGGAACUGAAUCCUGGCCAUUUGCAAGAGAUCCUCUGCAUGCAUUUAACUGUUGGGCCACCUUUCCAGCCCAAGAACAGAGUACUUCUCUUCCCCACAGGCCUCCUGCCCUGUCUCGUCUUCUUGAACCAGGACAGCAAAGGAUUCGCUGGCCCUCUGGAUAGAAACUCUGGUGCUUUUCAACUGUGUGAGCAUGGGUGACUUGCUUGGCCUCUCUGAGCUCCACUUCCUUCAUCUGCAAGAUGAGAAUAGUCAUCAUAGCUCCCACCUUCACAGGAAGAUCACUAAUCUGGCAAGGAAACACAAGGCGCAUAUCUGGUACCCUGGGGCUCGGACAGAAGAAUCUGAUACUGUUAUCUUGUUAUCUUAUUUUGCCAGAGCAGAUCUGGGGCCCCCACCUCCAUCCAGGUGCCCAGAGGCCUGAGAAGCUGUCGAAAGCACUGAACCUAAUGUGUAUAACUACAGGAGAUGCCAGCCAUCUCCUCCAGAUGCAGGCUAAAAAUACAGAGGAGUGAGGUCCCUCAGUAAUGGAGACUUUAAGAGCCUGUGACAUGCGGCGACGGCUGUGCGGCCGCUAAUGAGCUCCUAGCCGAUCGAUGCCCAAGACCCAAGUGAGCGUGUGGGCCGGGAGCAGAGACGGGGUGUCACUCAUCAUUUGUCCGUCCUGGCUCAGAAACCUGGACUGUUGGUGUGGGCCAGGAGACUGGGGAUCAGCUUGAGUGACCCCUUCAAAUGGGGAGACUGAGGUCAAGUGACAGGAAGUAGGAAGACACAUCCUGGACAGCUGAUGCUUCAAGGGACCUUAACCAGAUCUUGUUUCUCUCCUUUCCUGCCCCACCCCCAGCUUUCUAUUUCAAAGACCAGCACAGAGCUGUAUAGACCCUGCAAAUGGAUGAGAAUUGAGCAUUGAACAAAUGAAUGAAUGAGUGAAUAUUUGCCCCACUGCAAUGUGGGGUUCCCCAGUGCAAGGACUACAAGCUAGACUUCCUAUUGCCCCAGGAGUACCCAGCACCAAGAUAAUCAGAAAGGAUUUGCUGAAUGAAUGAAUCUACCCGCUUCUGCACAUGAAGACAAGGAAGCCUAUGAAAAUCGUGUCCCAGGUCUAUUUUCACUGGUCCUACCACUAAAGAGGAUAGCCAUGCCUGCCGGAGAGAAUACCCAACAGCACAGUACAGCAGAUGGUGCCUGGACCUGCUGCAGGCACAGUACUGAGUUUUACACAAAUCAUCUCAGUCCUCAUAUCAACUCUAUGCUUAAGCUCAGUUUUUGUUUUUGUUUUGUUUUGGUUUGGUUUUUCGA